rnacentral:lncRNA from 1 species
GUGAAAUGGAGAAUGGGUUUUGUCCUCUCCACCCCCUUUCUCUCCUAGUCCUUUCACACCCAACACCCAAAAACGUUUACAUUCUUCACUGCGGUCUUUCCAGAUUUGGGAAAGACCUAACUUCUAUCUUAGCUAUCUUAGAGAGGUGAAACUUUUGAUGAAGGUGCUAUUAAUCUAGAAAGGCAAACCUGUUUUAAUGAAGUAUGAUUAAGUUUAUAUGCUUAAACUGUAUUUUAAACCAGUACCUAUGCUGUCUUAACAGUUUGAGUUUGGAUAUUUGUUUCUUAAUUCUAGCAGAUCAUCAUAGUAAAACUCAUUGACUUCUAGAAGAAAGCUAAACUGGAUAUUUAUAAUAGUUUUUUCUUGUUCUGGAUCCAGAUUGAGAAUACAAGUCCCUCAGUCCUCAGCCAGUUUCUCCUUUGGUUACGCAUAUGUUGUUGAGUCCUCCUCUAGCCUCCACGUCAUGUUAGAGGACAGUGAGAAUAGCAUUUCAGGCCUCACUGCCAGAAGAGAACCUGUUUGAGAGCAGCUGUAUUCCUAGGAGAGGAGGGUCAUUUAGAGAGGGGAUCAAGCACAUUGCUUUCAGGUGGCCACUAGUUUAGGUAAUGAGCCACUGCUCAGAACAGGUUUUGUGCGUGCAUGUGUGUAUGUGUAGAUGUACAUACACAGAGAGACAGACGGAGAGAGGCAGAGAGGGAGAAAGAACACACAUCUGCUUUGAGGUUCUUUAUACGUUCUUUGUUACUUCCUUACUUACCCAGCAACCAUUGUCCCUGUCAGAAAGCAUCAUGGACACUUUGUUGUCCAGUGCUAAUACAGAUUUGGCUAGGGGCCACCUUUGAACUUAAAUAUCCAAAGAUGCUUUUGAAUUUAAAGAUUAAAAUACAACUCAAAUAUUUACUCUUGUAGUUUUAAAAGUAUAGUUGUUAGGUGUGAAGUAGAAAUGUUGCUUUUCCUACUUUAGUAUCAACAUUUUAGUAUGUUAAAUUUGAUGCCUUAUGAACAAAUAAUUUUAUAUUAUGCUUUAAUUUUUUAAAAAUGUCUUCAUUCAGCUAGAUAUAGAGAAUGAUUGAAAUAGCACUAUAGAUAAGAUGUUUCCAAAAAUGUGAGUGUGCAUAUCUUUUCUGUACACAGCUUAAAAUCAAAAAGAUAUAGUAGAGGAUUUUUCCAUUAUGUGUAGUUUCUGUUUUAAAAUUAUUUUUCAUAAUAUUUAUUUUAUUCUACUUUGUUAUUUUCUUUGUAUGAGGCAUCUGGUUAAUAAUAAUAAUUCUCCUCCUCCUCCUCCUCUUCCUCCUCCUUCUUCUUCUUUUCUUCAUAUAGACAUUCCUGAUAAUCACUCCUUUGAGUUAUUUUGUUUUCUGUAUUAAAAAGACCUAUUUCUGUACCAAAUAUAAACAUACAGAUUCAUGCCAAAUCUUUACCAACUUUGACACUAACUUUCUUACGUCCUUUAGUCUGGUGUGAGUAACUAGAUAGAACACAAAUCCUAAAAUUCUUAUUCCUCAAUCAUAUUAGCUUCUUUAAUGAUGUUGUUAAUAAUUAACUUUUGUAGCCAUAACCAGGUGUCUCAACCUUGUGUUUUUAAAGAAAUGUAUUGUAAAACUUUGGUUAGAAUCCAAAACAGGAGCGGGCAACUUUGUGCAAUAUUUCGUUACAGUAGUUUAGUUUAUUUUUUCCUCAUGCGCAUGUAAUUGAUAUUUCUGCCGAAGAUGUGCCUUCAACUUUAUAAUUAUAGUGUUGUUUUAAAAAAAUGUUGUCAAGUGUUGCUGUGUUAAGUCAUCCAGCCCCCUCUACCCUCGUUGUGUUAUUUGGGGUUGUUUGGCUGUUUCAGCUGUUAAUCCAUGCUGUACCAGGACCAGAGGCAGCAGCACACAUUCAGGUAGGGGACAAAAGUCUGUUGUCUUUCCGAUCCCACUGCCCUGGUGCUGUCACUUAGAACAAGAGACAAAGGAAUGUGUAUGGCCUCUUCUCCUUUGUAGUGUCUAAUAAAUUCUUGAUAUAGUAUCCACCCU